AGAAAAGGACAGGCUAUGCAGCGUGCUAUUCAACAUGGCGGAGAACGCAGUUCAUCUCUAAUUGACAAGAAUUUCACGAGUUGACCAAUCAGAGGGAGAAUACUUAUUUGUCCCGCCCUCCUGUUUCUCGACUGACCAGCGGAACUGGAGAGUUGCUGUGAUGAACACUACGUAUGAAAGCAAGAGCUCGUCUCACCUAAGGCAUCUCUCCACGCCUGAGAUUAGUAACAGUGCCAUCAUUUAUUUUUGAAAAGCAGAAUUCUAUUUAUUUCUACAAAAAGAAGCCUUGCAAAAGUAAGAAGCAAAUAGAAAUCCUUGACAAAAGAGUAGUCACUUCAAAUUAAAUCCCAUAUUACUUAAUAGCUUGGCUUUUUAUGUUUGCCUUUAAAAAAAUAUUUCUGUCUUUCUUCAGUAAUAAAAAGUAUUUUAUCUUAUAUUCUACCUACCUUUCUGCAGAAGCUUGGUACAGGAGUCUAAGAGAGAGCCAGCAAUGAUGACGACCGACGUGGUGCCAUCCCCUGCUUCUAUGUCUUGAGCUUUGGACAGUUCCACCAGCUAUGUGAACAGAACAUGCCAAGAUGCUAAGAAAUGAGAACCCAGUAACAUCUAACUCAAAACACUUGUUUUCUAAGAACUGUCAACGUAGCUCAGUAGUGUAUAGUUCUUGGUGAGCUUGCAUGAUGCCAUGGAUUCAGUCCAUAGCAAAAACCAAAAAAGCAAAAUGAAAAAGCCCCCAAGCUCUCUUAUAGAACACCUCACACCCAGAGAACAGUAUCUUAGAAAUGUACGUUUUUAGCAUAAAGAUAAAGGAUUCUCCAGUUUAAAUAGUAUCAAAGUUAACUCUAUUGAGUAUCAUACAAGUACACUUGACAGCACAUGCCCACGAAUAUAAUCCCCAGCACUCAGGAUGAAGCUGGCUGGCUGCCAAGUCCAAGGGUACACAGUGCGUACCAGGUCACUGGGCUACUGACCGAGAUCGUGUCUCCUGUACACUUACCAUUCUGGCUGCUGGGUGUAAUACUUGCAUUUGUUUCAGAAUGGUGGCACCAUCAUUGGUAAUGGUCACAUCGCCUUUUCCGUCUUGAAUCUGGAACGUUGGUUUUUUAAAACUUUAAUGCAGUAUUCUACCAGCUCUAUUCCAUUUACUAUUACAUACAACUUAGUUUAUUAUGUAUGCUGCUUAACUUAAUAUUCAUUCAUUAGUAAACCAGUAAAAACAUUCAGAACAACUCAACUUUGUAAAGUAAGUGACUGGCUCUGCCUGGGUAGCUUGAUCACAUUUAAGUGUGUGUAUAUACAUAACUGAGCACAGUGCUCAGAGACCAGGAGUAUCAGACCCUCUAUCUAGUGAUGGAAACGCAGCCUGGGCCCCUGUAGAAGCAGUAUGCGUCCAUCUCUCUGGCCCCUGCUCACUCAGGGUAUGUAAAGUAGUCUGGAGGUAAAGCUCAUUCAGGAAAGUGCCUACUGCUCAAGCAUGAGGACCUCGGCUCAGAUCCCCCAAAUUCCUUGGCUAGCCAUAUUGGUCUGUCUCCGGCUUGGUUGCUAACUAGCUCUCAAUCUUAGGACGCACCAAUCCAAAUUAGACUCUAUCUGCUUUACACUGCCAGUUAGUUAAGAAAAAAAGUUUAAAUAGUUGAACUGGGCGCAGCGGCUCACACUUGUACUCCUAGCAUUCCAGAAGCUGAGGCACAGCGGUAAGCUCAGGUUUCAAAAUAAAUGAACAGUCAAACGUGCUAGCACAGCCUGUGACCCCAGCACUUCAAGCAGAAGCAAGAGGACCAAGGGACAGUCUCAAUCCAAAAAGCAUUAAAAUAUACAGUUAAAUACUAUACUACCUAAGUAAUCUCUCCUCUUGAUGAAUUGACUUUGGAGGGAUCUGAGGAAGAAGAGGUGGUAUUAUAAGGCACUACACACGGACUCAACCCUAGGGCCUUGUUCCACCCUAAGCAAGUGUUCUACCACAGAUGUCAGCCCUGAAACAGCACCACCUUUCAUCUGACUGUGAAUGUGAACACAAGUUCUCAACAAGUAAUGAGUUAUUUAAAUUUUUUACCAUUUUGUCCAUUCCUUUAGGUCCAAGGCUUGUUCUAAUGGCAUCGGCAACCGCUGUUAAAAAAGAAGAGUAACAAAAGUCAUACAUUAAACCAAGACUUAAAGAAAAAGGCAAAAGCAUUUUGUUUCAAAGUUGCUCUUUAGGAUAUGGUAUAUACCAGCUUACUAUGCCUCUAAAACUUCAUGCCUAAUAACAACCCUAAUAGACACUAGACCACUUCACAUGUGCUAGGUCUAUGUAGAGCAAAAUUUCAAAAUUCCUGUGAGAAUCAAAAUGGCACAAUCUAGUCUUAAGUUCUUAGUGUUAUUUCUUCUUUCAUUUAACAGUACAAGCAGCAGCAAACAGCUAAAACCCGAGUGUUGUACACAGCACAUUCAUUAGCUUUUCCUCUCCCCAACAAAACAUAAUCCGCUGAGAACACACAUGUGGGACCCAUAGUCUAAUAAUUCGUCUAUGUCUCUUAACUAGUAUGCUUUUGCCCACAUCAGGUAAAGAAUAAUUUAACAGAUAUACCUCGUAUAAUACUAAUAUUUUACAUAUGUCAUGACUUUGGUCUAGCAGUCAUAAUCAAAGUUUCAGAUGAUUUUAGUGGACCUGUUUCAAGAUAUUCACUACUCCAAAAAAUACCGUAUUUCAGACUCUACAUUUCUAGAAGGUCUGUAAGACAAGCUAGUGACUGUUAAAUGGUUCACACUGAGCUAGCAGUAUUUUCUGUCUGUGAAGUCUUCCUCACCAUUAAGCAAGUACCACUGUCUUUUUUUCAGAGGGGACGGAUAACUCCAAAAUGAACUAAACUCCAGCUGUAUCUGGAAGAAGCCUUUCUUACUCCCUAGGGUUUUGUUCUAACUUGGAAAAACUAGUUUGCCCUUUGCUCUUUUAGUAACUAGAUAGCUUUACAGGCAAUUUGGUAACCAAUCCUUCCUACGUGCACGACUCCUGUCCUGUUUUAAUUUUUGUGCUUUUGACAGGUGCUGGAUAGUUUAUAUCAAGUUGACCCAAGCAAACUAAAGUCAUCUCAGAGGAGGGAAUCUUGAUUAAGAAAAAGUCAAUUGCAGGCAAGCUUGUAGGGCAUGUUCUUAGUGAUUGAGGGGAAGAGUUCAGUCUAUAGUGGGUGGGUGGGGCUAUCCCUAGGCUGGUGGUCCUGGGCUGGUAAGAAAGCAGGUUGAAGGGCUGGAGAUGAUGGCUCAGCAGAUGGAUAAGAGCACUGGCUGCUCUUCCAGAGUUCCUGAGUUCAAUUCCCAGCACCCAGCAACCAUAUAUAACCACGGUCCUGUGGGAUCCAAUCCUUCUGGUGUGCAAAUAUACAGACGAAACACCCAUAUACAUAAAUUACAUAAAUAAAUCCAUCUUUAAAAAAGGUUACUCUGUAAUCUGUUUUUUCACAGUAAUAGAAACCCUAGCAAAGAUGGCUGCCUGAAGUAAAAACAUCCCAUUUUGUAUAUAGCAUACACUCUUUGGUCACUCAAUCGGCUCGAUUUUUCAACAUCCCAAUAACUCCACCACCACAUACAUAAUUAAUGAACCCAAUAAAUUUCUAGGUGUCAGGUAUUCACUCCAAACUUCCAAAAGACUCUUCGACCGACCACCUUGCCAACUUCUCCAACUCCUUAAGGUCCACCCUGCACCCUCACAGCACCAACACACUGCGGUCACCUGGGCUGGUUGACUGCAAUACUCCCAAGGUUUACUUCGUACAGGUUCACAUUUAAUUCUCCCAGCAACCCUGCAAAUAAACUGUUCCCUCACCCAACUUACAGCUUUAUUGAAAAUAAAGCCAAUGAUUCCCUGGGUUCCAGGACUUUCCAAAGACAGGACAGCAAUUUCACUUCUCGAAUCAUGCAUCUUUUUCUCCAACCCAAAUAAACCCUGGCAAUAUCUCUAAAAGCUUUGUUCUUAAUUUUCCUUCCAUAUUUUUUUUUCUUCUCCAGUUCGGUUUCUCUAAAUGUUCACAAUUACAGAAAGCAAAGAUUUAUCUUCCCCGGACUGAUAGUAAGGGAACUUUGGUUCAGAGGUCAAAAACAUGAAAUAACACAUGCAGAGAAUAAAACUCAGGCCUGUCUGUUUUUCAUCAUGUUCCCCACGUGCAGGUUAAGUGGAAUUUAUGCUGUCUAUCCACGGAACCAAAAAAGAAAGUUCAUUUAACUAUGCCGUCUACCACUAGGUUUAACGAACAGCCAAGCUUUAGUUCUGAAGCGUCAGAUCUCAAGGAUCAUUGCAUUUCAGCAUCUUAUACCAUCCGUUGUCCGCACCAACGUGACGAACACCGCCCAAGCCCGCAGGGGAUGAACUAGGGAGCACCGCGACCCACAAUGGGGCGUGUCCGAGGCCUCCACGCCGGAGUACUCAGUAGAAAGCUGCGCCCACCGGACGAGACCACCUCUGAAGGAACACAACCCACCCAAGGCUAAGGUCACAGUGAGAGGCUGGGCCGUAUUGCCGCUAGGCGGGCCGGCGAGGGGUGAUACCUUUGGCCGCGGAAAUGUUGCUGAAGCGGAUCUGGGCCGGUUUGUCGCGGUCCUGGUAGGCGCCUUUCCCGCGGUUGCCCGGCCCCGCUGCGGGCGGCCCGCUUCGGGAAGCUACGUUCUCCGGCAUGGCGACUUUGAUGGCGUCUGCGCGGGUUCAGGAGGACCGAUGGACACGGAUUCCGGCCUGCUGUGGAGUAACGGUCUCCCUGGCCGCCGCCUCCACGAACCUUCCAGAAAGCGACGCCGGGAGAGAAGGCGGAAGCCGAAGAAGGGGCCUGCGGUGGUGCCGGCGCAGAUAUGACGUCAGGGGCUGUCCGCCGCACGCCGGCCGCGGAGCUCGCGCGCGGAGAUCCCGGGAGCGGACAGUCAACCGGUCCCUGUGCCUGGGCGCUGAGAUGGAGCGGGAGGUUUUAAAGGCGUGACAGGUGCCAUUCUAUGUAGACCGGAGCCACUCGCUCCUGCUAGUCAUGUUGACGAAGCCGUGACAGCCCUGGCUUUGUUCCGGAGUGGGUGUGGCGCAGCCGGCAUUUUCCAGACAUCUAUAUCAAAAUUCUAAAUUUUAUUCCUAGUUUAUUCACUUUGCAAAGGUGUUGGAGGAAAAAUUUGCCAUGAAUAAGUUUCUUCCCUUGUGUAUAUAUUUUUUGCCUGCCUAGGGGUUUAAAUACACUGGUCAAAUGGCACAGAAUCUUAAUAGUUGUGGAGCUGUGACUGCCUGCCAAAUCCAGUCUGCCUUCUAGUUACGACCUCUUCCAUAAACGUAGCCACUGACUCUUAGGGAACAUAAACAUAGUAAUAACUGAUUAGUAGUUAUCUGCUGAACAAAGUGUGAAGCCUUUACACCCUUUACCUUACCUAUUCCUCCUCAUAAUCCCGUGAAAUAGGUGCCAUCGUCUUUGCUUUAUGGAUGAUGGCACUAAAGCCCAGGGUCAACCACAGUAAGGCGAUGGAAUCUGUCUCUAGGUAAACUUCCAAGGUUUCUAUAAGCACUAUCAUUGACUAGGGAAGUUUAUAUAGGUAAUACCUGUUCACUAGUAGUUCACAGUUAAUCAUUGAGAACCCAUAAGGUGCCACAUGCCUGCAGUAGGUUAAGGAAAAAUUGUUUUAUGGACUUAGUCCUGUGAUCACGAGGAGCUUUGACACGAACUCAGGCUAUUAAGACUAAGAUGAAGUUUUCAAGUCCUCCCCCACUGCACCACCCCCUCCAUCCGGGGGAUACAUCUUUUUCAAAGACUAGUUUACCCCUCCCUCACAGUACAUAAACAUUCUAUGGCAGUUGAGACAACUGGUUUAUAUGAAAAGAACAGGUGCUGGUACUGUGGUGGUUUGAGAUGACCCCCCCCCACCCCCAGUUUCAGACAAAUACUUGGUUCCCAGUGGGUAGCUCUGAUCAGAGAAGCUUAGAAGGUGUAGUCUUGCUGGAGUAAGUGUAUCACUGGGGACAGAAUUUGUUUCAAAAGUUGCCAGGCAUUCCCAGCUGCUUCCUGUUCACAAUUUGAGAUGUGAGCUGCCCCUGCCCCAUGUUUUCCCUGCAGUUCAAGUGUAAGUCCUGGAACCAUAACACCCCCACCCCCCCAAAAAUCUUCCUUCUAUAAAUUGCCUUCGUCGACAUGUGUUUGUUUUUGUUUUCGAGAUAAGGUUUCUCUGUGUAGCCUUGACUGUCCUGGAACUAACUCUCUGUAGACCAGGCUGACCUGAAACUCACAGCUAUCCACCUGCCUCAGCUUUCCAAGUGCUGGGAUUAAAGGCCUGUGUCACCGCCACCCGGCAUAGUCAUGGUGAUUUAGCGUUUUAUCACAGCAAUAGAGAAGUAACUAACACAAGUACUCUGACUUCUCCUGCCCCUAAAAGCAGGAGACAAAACUACCACCUGAAAGGGGCCUUCACUGUGCUGCAGGAAGACACUUCUUCCCAGGGACAGGGAAGCAGAAUGAAAGAGGUCCAAGCCAAUCUCUGCCAAUCAUGCUGGAAAUCUGAGUUCACUGCCUCAUGCACGGAUGUUUCAGGGAAUUCUUCUUUUCUGCAAUAGUUGGAUUUAUCUAUGGUUUCCUGACCGAACGGCCUGGGUGGACUGUCUGCAUAGUUUGCUUUCUUGUGUUUGUUGACAUUUUCUCCGUGGCCCAUCUGUCACUGACAUCCCUUGAAGUGGUUACCUGUUCAGACUCUGGUACAGAAGACAGAAUCGGGGGACAGAAAAAUUAAGACACAUGCUGAAAGCAACUGAUUGGGGGCUUUCACCAUUCAGCACCUGUUUCAGGUGAGCUGAAUUGAUUUCACAGCAAAACAUGAUCUUAAACCCUCUAUGUUCUGACCAAGGGGAGGGGUAGUUAGCGCAAGCCCCUUUGUCGUAAGUCACUUUAUUAUUUUUCUCAUUAACAUAUGACUGUCUGGCUCAAACUUUUUUUUUUUUUUUUUGGUUCUUCAUUUCCUCCUCAAGUCUUUUAUGUCAGAUAAGACUUAGAUUUAUACAUUUUAUUUAUCUGUCUUUGUUGAAAAGUUCUAUCCAAAGAUGGGCAGUUGAUGGUGCAUGCCUUUUACACCCCCGCUCCCCCAGACUCAAGGGUUAAAAAAAAAAAAAAAAGGACCGGGAGCUAGAAAGAUGGACGCUUUGCUUUAAAACACAGUUUAGGACAUUUGUCACUCUUACAAAAGACCCGGGUUUGAUUCCCAGCACCCACACAGCUGGAUUACAAUCACCUAUCGCCCAGCUUCAAAGGAUCCAGCACCCUCUUCUGACCUCCACAGACACCGCACAUAUAUGAUGCACACGCAUUCCUGCAGGCAAAAAUACUCAUAAAAUAAAGAAAUAGCUGAGUGUGCGCCACCACCGCCUGGCACAGUCUACACUUUUAACGUUUAUAAAAAUAUCACUUCCUGCCCGGAACCACUUGCUUGCUGGCAUGUUUGGCCAUGAUUAGAGGGAAACCUGUGUGGAAGCGGGGCUGUUUAUCAGAUACCGGUUUCCCUUGGGGCUGAGCUUCUGGGUCUUUUCCUUGUUGCUGCUCUGUUCUGACGUUCUAAUGAGCAUCCUCUUAGCAUUUGUCCAGGUUUGUUAUCUAUAAAACCUGUGAUUUGAAAUUUAAUAAACGGUAACUGUGUUUUGAGCCUUUUGUUUGAAGAGCAUUCCUAAAACGCAGCUGGCGCCAAGCUGCAGCUGCAGCUAUGGCAAUAGCAGCCCCUGGUGGCAGAAGAGGGAAUUUCUUUUCUGGGUCAACCUGGUGAUUCGGAGUUGAGGUAGGCCAGGCUCACAAGGUUCUCUGACCAGGGGUACUUGGCAGAGCAUAGCACCACCCAAGUGCCACUUCGGCAUAAGAAUUAUUUCUAAUUUAAAGCAAUCAAGAAAGAGUAGGUGCCAAAAGUCUAUCAGCUGAACUAUAACUCGGUGAAGUAUUCACUCUAAAGCUGAGAGAUGGGACUGGCUGGAGAGACGGCUCAGGGCUUACGUGUGCUUACUGCUCUUACAGAGAGCAGCAUCCAGUGGUUCACAGCCUCCCGAAACUGUGAUUCCAGGAGUUGAGUAUCCUGACUUCCAUGGGUACCUGCCUGCAGGUGAAGCACAUGCACGCAUUCAGGCACAUGCUCAUAAAAUGAAAUGAACAGACAAAGCUUUCAUGAAAGAGAAAUGGAGCCAGAGAGGCAGCUCACUGGGGAAGGCUCUUGCCACCAAGCCUGACUCCUGAGUUCAGUCUCUGAGAUCCACAUGGUGGAAGAGAAUCCAUUCUUGUAAUUUGUUUUACAGUCUCCACAUGUAUGCUGUGGCAUGUGUACAGACAGGAACACACACACACACACACACACACACACACACAAAGAGAGAGAGAGAGAGAGAGAGAGAGAGAGAGAGAGAAUUUAAUAAAAAUUUAAUAAGUUAAAAACUACACGAUACCUUUUUCUAUGUGCCCCAUGACAACAGUAAUUUGGUCAUGGCCUUCCGGAUGAAGACUUACGCAUUAUCUGCUUAGUGGUGGCAUUUGGUCCCACCUUCCAUCUGUCUCUUCCGUCCAUUCUUUGCAACCUCCUUUCUUAUUCGUUUUGUUUGAGAUAGGCUUUCUCUAUAUAGCCCUGGUUUUCUUGGAACUACGGUGGAGAACAGGCUGGCCCUGCGUCUGCAUCCUGGGUGCUGGGACUAAAGACGUGCGUCACCACACCCUGGCUCUUUGCGCUCUGUAGGCGCAUUUAACACAAAAGUGUAGGGUCUUUAAGGUUGUUUUUCUUGGCUCCACAAAACAUUUUUGAAGACGCCUUUUAGAAAAAAUCACUUCUUUGGAAAGGUACACCUCGAAAUUUUUCUUUUGCAUACAUACAAUCAAACCACACACAAACAGUAAUUAAACCAGUCCAGACCAGUGGUUUUCUUUAGGUUGGUACUUUCUUGAAAGGAUCAGUUAGUUGUCACCUUAAUGGAUGGGUAGGAAUAGCCAAAGUUAAACUAAUCAGGAAUAUGAUACAGUCUGCUAUGCAGGGGACAUUUAUGAAGGUGAAAACCCAUUUGUGAAUUGUUAGAGCCUAAAUUUAACCCAAUUUUACAUGCAAACACACAUUUUAAGACUUACUUAUUUUAGUGGGUGUUUGCCUAGAUGCAUGUAUGUGUGUCACAUAUGUGCUUGGUGCCCAAAGAAGUCAAAAGAUGGCAUUGGGUUCCCUGAAACUGGAAUUACACAUGGUUUGUGGGCCAUCUUGCGGGUGCUGGGAACUGAACCUGUGUCCCGUGAAAGAGCAACAAGUGCUCUUAACCAAGGAGAAGUCUUUCCAAAACCAAGCACAUAUUCUUAGCUUGGUUUUGAUAUACAGACCAGAUCUCUGGCUUGCAGUGACUGCAAACUGAGGAAAGAAUGUUUUUCUCUUUGUAACCUCCACCCAUCUUUAUCCACAUUUAGAAACGCCAUGCUAACAGUAGCAACUGCUUUUCCCUGGAGUUCGGGCUAUUACACACCUGUGUCAACUUAAUUCCAUGUAACAGUACAUGCACCUGUGUGAGGUCUUUACAGAUUAUAACAGAGGAGAGAACACGUGUGGAGAGCUUUUGGGGCCCACCUUCUAGGAAUUUGGCAGGACUUUGGCAUUGGGCUAGGACAAGAAAGUAGGCUUAAGAUGAACACAGCUGGGGAAUGCAUUCUUUGUAUCGUGAUGGGUCUUUUUAAGACCAUGAAUACAGGGGCUGGAGAGAUUGCUCAGUGGUUAAGACUGCUCCUCCAGGGGUUGGGGAUUUGGCUCAGUGGUAGAGCGCUUGCCUAGCAAGCACAAGGCCCUGGGUUCGGUCCCCAGCUCCGAAAAAAAAAAAAAAAAAAGAACCAAAAAAAAAAGACUGCUCCUCCAGAGGUCCUGAGUUCAAUUCCCAGCAACCACAUGGUGGCUCACAACCAUCUGUAAUGAGAUCUGAUGCCCUCUUCUGGUGUGUCUGAAGACAGCUACAGUGUACUCAUAUAAAGUGGAAUCCUGAAUGCAGUAAUCAUGGGAUCUUUGUUUAUGCCUUGUUUGUCCCUUGACUGCUUUGUUUAUGCCUUAGGACUGACCCUAUUCUAUGUAUGCACCUAGAAUGAUAUAAAAGCAGACUGGGGUCAUGUUAGUGUUGUCGGCUCCCUCCCUGGAAACCCUGUUGACUGACUGAGCUGGCUUGUCAGACACAGCUAGCAUUUUGAAGUCUGGGAUAUAGAACUCUACCUCCCAAUCAAUUGUGUUGGAGGCAAAGAGGUCCUCGUGCUCACAGGUAAGUACCAGGAAAAGCAGGAAUGUAAAACACAAGGAAAGAGAUGUAUAACAUGUUUCUGCUCAGAAGGCUGGGAAUGGAUGUGGUUAGUAGCCUGGUGACCUCUGUGCUGUCUGCAUGGCCGAGGCACAUCUGGCUCCCCCAGACUUUGUUAUCUCAUUUUCCCGAGAUGCUUGUUUGUUUUUGAGACUCAUGUACCUACAGAGUGCGAGCAUGUAGAGGCCAGCAUAUAAUAAAACCCUGCCUGGUCUGGAGUUCCCUAUGUAGCCCAGCCUGUCUUCUAACUUACAACUACCUGUCUCUACAUCCUGAAUAAAGGCAUAUGUUACCAUACCUGGCUCAAUAAGUUUUAUAUUGACAUUUUAGACAUAAUUAAAAAACUGAGCCAUUGUUUGUAUACUCUUAAGUCCUCAACACAGUAUAAGUUAUCCACAAAGUGAGUAUUUGGUCUUUCAUAUGGAUAUUUAAAAAUUAAAGCAAAUUCUCUGGUGCUGGAGAUCUUGCUAAGUGGUAGAGCACCUGCCUAGAACACACGGAGCUCUGCCUCUCAUCCUCUCAAAACACAACUGCAGAAAAUAAAAACUUAAGGGUCCUUUGGAAAGUCAGUGGGAUGGUUGAGGCAAGACACGUGGAGGACAUGUGAUAUUUGGAGGGCAUAAACAGGACUUCACAGAUAGCUUGGCUUGCUGAUACAGCUAGCUGUACACAACAACCUCUCCCUGACCCUCAGAUCCAUGUCUUUUGUAGAAGUCACGGUUCCAAACAUAUUCCCUUCAAAAUAAGAUGCAGGCGUUUGGUUACUUCACAUGUUGUCUGCUCACCAGGCUACAUAAUUGUGCUUGAAUGCAACCGGAGUUCAUAAUGUAUUAUUCUAUGUCCUUUUAUUUUAAUUUUUUUGUCUUUCGAGGCAAGGUUUCUCUGUGUGGUCCUAGCUGGUCUCAAACCCAGAGAGCCUCCUGCCCCUGACUCCAAGUCUAGGGAUUAAAGCCCAGUGUGCUAUUUUUUAAUUGUAGAUUACAAUUAGCUUAUAUUAAAUUUUAAAUUGGGAGCUAAUUUACAUAUUGUGAAACUGUCUUUUAUCGUACACAUAAAUGGAUACAGGACAAAGCCAGCCGUGUAAUUAUUACCAGUGGCUACUCACUGGCAUUUUCAUCAUCUGAAAAAAGAUCUUGUACCCAUUCAGUCAUUUCCCAUUCUUCCCUCCUUCAGUCCUUGGCAAAUGAAUUUUUGUAUGGAUUUGCUUAGUUUAGAUAUUGCAUAUAAAUAAGAUCAUCCAAUUGUC